rnacentral:rRNA from 1 species
GGCGUAAAGAGCUUGUAGGCGGCUUGUCGCGUCUGCUGUGAAAGCCCGGGGCUUAACCCCGGGUCUGCAGUGGGUACAGGCAGGCUAGAGUGUGGUAGGGGAGACUGGAAUUCCUGGUGUAGCGGUGGAAUGCGCAGAUAUCAGGAGGAACACCGAUGGCGAAGGCAGGUCUCUGGGCCAUUACUGACGCUGAGAAGCGAAAGCGUGGGGAGCGAACAGGAUUAGAUACCCUGGUAGUCCACGCCGUAAACGUUGGGCGCUAGGUGUGGGUCCCAUUCCACGGGGUCCGUGCCGCAGCUAACGCAUUAAGCGCCCCGCCUGGGGAGUACGGCCGCAAGGCUAAAACUCAAAGGAAUUGACGGGGGCCCGCACAAGCGGCGGAGCAUGCGGAUUAAUUCGAUGCAACGCGAAGAACCUUACCAAGGCUUGACAUGUACCGGAAACCCUCGGAGACGGGGGCCCCGCAAGGCUGGUACACAGGUGGUGCAUGGUUGUCGUCAGCUCGUGUCGUGAGAUGUUGGGUUAAGUCCCGCAACGAGCGCAACCCUCGUUCUAUGUUGCCAGCGGUUCGGCCGGGGACUCAUAGGAGACUGCCGGGGUCAACUCGGAGGAAGGU